GACGAACGCUGGCGGCGUGCCUAAUACAUGCAAGUAGGACGCAGUUGCGAACGGAUGAGUAACGCGUAGGUAACUAACUAGUAGAGGGGGGUAACAAUUGGAAGCGAUAGCUAAUACCGCAUACUAGUAGAUGGACCUGCGUUGUAUUAGCUAGUAGGUAGGGUAAUGGCCUACCUAGGCAAGGAUACAUAGCCGACCUGGGAGGGUGAUCGGCCACACUGGGACUGAGACACGGCCCAGACUCCUACGGGAGGCAGCAGUAGGGAAUCUUCGGCAAUGGGGGGAACCCUGACCGAGCAACGCCGCGUGAGUGAAGAAGGUUUUCGGGUCGUAAAGCUCUGUUGUUAAGGAAGCGGUACUUAACCAGAAAGCGACGGCUAACUACGUGCCAGCAGCCGCGGUAAUUC
rnacentral:rRNA from 1 species